CCUACGGGGAGCAGCAGUGAGGAAUAUUGGUCAAUGGACGAGAGUCUGAACCAGCCAAGUAGCGUGAAGGAUGACUGCCCUAUGGGUUGUAAACUUCUUUUAUAAAGGAAUAAAACUAGGUAUGUGUGCCUUUUUGUAUGUACUUUAUGAAUAAGGAUCGGCUAACUCCGUGCCAGCAGCCGCGGUAAUACGGAGGAUCCGAGCGUUAUCCGGAUUUAUUGGGUUUAAAGGGAGCGUAGAUGGGUUGUUAAGUCAGUUGUGAAAGUUUGCGGCUCAACCGUAAAAUUGCAAUUGAUACUGGCAGUCUUGAGUACAGUUGAGGUAGGCGGAAUUCGUGGUGUAGCGGUGAAAUGCUUAGAUAUCACGAAGAACCCCGAUUGCGAAGGCAGCUUACUAUACUGUGACUGACAUUGAUGCUCGAAGGUGUGGGUAUCAAACAGGAUUAGAUACCCGAGUAGUC
rnacentral:rRNA from 1 species